AUUUUUUUAGUAUAAAGUAUAUUUGGUUUCCACCCAAAAGGUCUAAAGUUAAUUAGAAAAAAUA
rnacentral:tRNA from 1 species